rnacentral:rRNA from 1 species
GCCUAAAUCUAGCCCAACCACACAAAGAUAACCACUUAAAAAUCCACUCAACCACUGAACUAAAACAUUACCUAAGCCUUAGUAUAGGUGAUAGAAAAGGAUCCCAUUGGCGCCAUAGAGGACAGUACCGCAAGGGAAAGAUGAAAUAACAAUGAAAAACUAAAAGCAAUAAAUAGCAAAGAUAAACCCUUGUACCUUUUGCAUCAUGAUUUAGCAAGAACAACCAAGCAAAAUGAACUUAAGCUUGCCCCCCCCGAAACCCAAGCGAGCUACUUGCAGGCAGCUAUCCUGAGCGAAUCCGUCUCUGUUGCAAAAGAGUGGAACGACCUGCCAGUAGAGGUGAAAAGCCAAUCGAGCUGGGUGAUAGCUGGUUGCCCGUGAAAUGAAUCUAAGUUCUACCUUGACUCUUCCCCAUCCGUGAACAACUGAUCACUAACCGUGUGAAAAACCAAGAGCAAUUUAAAGGGGGUACAGCCCCUUUAAAAAAGAAUACAACCUACCCUAGCGGAUAACCCACACCCUCACCCCACACCUGUAGGCCUUAAAGCAGCCACCAACAAAGAGUGCGUCAAAGCUCACUUACCUAAAAAUCCAAAAACACCAUGACUCCCUUAACUCUAACGGGCUAAUCUAUGCCUAUAGAAGAAUUAAUGCUAAAAUAAGUAACUCGGAAUCUCCUUCCUCUUCAGCGCAAACUUACAUCCGCCAAUUAUUAACAGACAAACUAAUAUCACAAACCCAACAAGACUAAAUAUCACUACCACCUGUUACCCCAACACUGGAGCGCCCAUCAAAGAAAGAUUAAAGUCUGUAAAAGGAACUAGGCAAACUCAGGGCCCGACUGUUUACCAAAAACAUAGCCUUCAGCCAACCAAGUAUUGAAGGUGAUGCCUGCCCAGUGACAUAUGUUCAGCGGCCGCGGUAUCCUAACCGUGCGAAGGUAGCGCAAUCAAUUGUCCCAUAAAUCGAGACUUGUAUGAACGGCUAAACGAGGUCCAAACUGUCUCUUACAGAUAAUCAGUGAAAUUGGUCUUCCCGUGUAAAAGCAGGAAUAAACACAUAAGACGAGAAGACCCUGUGGAACUUUAAAAUCAGCGACCACUCCACAAAUAACUACAAACCUACCAGGUUCAUUACCCCAAUAAACGCUGGUCCGCAUUUUUCGGUUGGGGCGACCUUGGAGAAAAACAAAUCCUCCAAAAACAAGACCACACCUCUUAACAAAGAGUUACACCUCCAUGUGCAAAUAGUACCCAGACCCAAUACAAUUGAUUAAUGGACCAAGCUACCCCAGGGAUAACAGCGCAAUCCCCUUCAAGAGCCCAUAUCGACAAGGAGGUUUACGACCUCGAUGUUGGAUCAGGACAUCCUAAUGGUGCAGCCGCUAUUAAGGGUUCGUUUGUUCAACGAUUAACAGUCCUACGUGAUCUGAGUUCAGACCGGAGUAAUCCAGGUCGGUUUCUAUCUAUGUUGAACUUUCCCUAGUACGAAAGGACCGGGAAAGUAAGGCCAAUGCUCCAAGCACGCCUUAUCCCUCAAGUAAUGAACCCAACUAAAUUACCAAAGGACACCCACCUCUUCACCCCAGACAAAGGGUUA